GAUGAACGCUGGCGGCGCGCCUAACACAUGCAAGUCGAACGAUUAAAGCACCUUCGGGUGUGUAAAAAGUGGAGAACGGCUGAGUAACACGUGGGCAACCUGCCCCUCUCAUUGGGAUAGCCACGGGAAACCGUGGAUAAUACCGAAUACUUCGGGACUUCCGCAUGGAAGACUCGAGAAAGCUCCGGCGGGGAGGGAUGGGCCCGCGGCCUGUUAGCUUGUUGGUGGGGUAAUGGCAUACCAAGGCAAUGAUGGGUAGCUGGGUUGAGAGACCGACCAGCCAGAUGGGGACUGAGACACGGCCCAGACUCCUACGGGAGGCAGCAGUGGGGAAUCUUGCACAACGGGACAGCGCCUGAUGCAGCGACGCCGCGUGCGGGAUGAAGGCCUUCGGGUUGAAAACCGCUUCCAGCAGGGACGAGGCGAAAGUGACGGUACCUGCAGAAGAAGCCCCGGCUAACUACGUG
rnacentral:rRNA from 1 species